rnacentral:rRNA from 1 species
UAGGGAAUAUUGGUAAUGGGCGAAAGCCUGAACCAGCAACGCCGCGUGUGCGAAGAAGGCCUUCGGGUUGUAAAGCACUUUUUAAGGGGAUGAGGAAGGACAGUACCCUUAGAAUAAGCCUCGGCUAACUACGUGCCAGCAGCCGCGGUAACACGUAGGAGGCAAGCGUUAUUCGGAUUUACUGGGCGUAAAGCGCGUGCAGGCGGUUUGGUAAGUUGGAUGUGAAAGCUCCCGGCCUAACUGGGAGAGGUCGUUCAAUACUACCAGACUAGAGGAUGGGAGAGGGAGGUGGAAUGCCGGGUGUAGUGGUGAAAUGCGUAGAUAUCCGGAGGAACACCAGUGGCGAAAGCGGCCUCCUGGCCCAUUUCUGACGCUCAGACGCGAAAGCUAGGG